GGCCCUAUCGUCUAUCGGUUAGGACAUCAGGUUUUCAUCCUGAAAAGCGGGGUUCGACUCCCCGUAGGGCUACAA
rnacentral:tRNA from 1 species